rnacentral:rRNA from 1 species
GACGAACGCUGGCGGCAUGCCUAAUACAUGCAAGUAGAACGCUGAAGGAGGAGCUUGCUUCUCUGGAUGAGUUGCGAACGGGUGAGUAACGCGUAGGUAACCUGCCUGGUAGCGGGGGAUAACUAUUGGAAACGAUAGCUAAUACCGCAUAAGAGUAGAUGUUGCAUGACAUUUACUUAAAAGGUGCAAUUGCAUCACUACCAGAUGGACCUGCGUUGUAUUAGCUAGUUGGUGAGGUAACGGCUCACCAAGGCAACGAUACAUAGCCGACCUGAGAGGGUGAUCGGCCACACUGGGACUGAGACACGGCCCAGACUCCUACGGGAGGCAGCAGUAGGGAAUCUUCGGCAAUGGACGGAAGUCUGACCGAGCAACGCCGCGUGAGUGAAGAAGGUUUUCGGAUCGUAAAGCUCUGUUGUAAGAGAAGAACGAGUGUGAGAGUGGAAAGUUCACACUGUGACGGUAUCUUACCAGAAAGGGACGGCUAACUACGUG